rnacentral:rRNA from 1 species
AUGUCAGAUGACUAUCGUCGAUCACGCACGUCCCCUGACGAGGUGGAGCAGGUGGUGUUGCUAGACAUUAGGGGUAUGUUGCAGUCCAUGGGUAAAGAUAUUGUUGAUUUCGCUCUUUCGAGCAUAGAUGAUGCGUUUGACCCAACCGAGGGCGAGGCAAGAGAGGUCAUCGAGGAAACAACCGUUGAGUUUGACAUGGAUGACACUAAGUUGGUAUCUUCGCUGAACUUGGAACAAAGGGCCGCAUACGACGAGAUACUAACGGCUGUUGAAUGCGGUGAUGGGGGUGUAUUCUUUGUUGAUGGCCCUGGAGUUUCAGGGAAGACCUUCCUAUACAGGGCGAUGCUUGCCAAGGUGAGGAGCCAAGGCAAGAUUGGUAUCGCUACCGCGAUGUCGGGCGUCGCCGCUUCUAUCAUGCCUGGCGGCAGGACUGCCCACUCGAGGUUCAAGAUCCCAUUG